rnacentral:rRNA from 2 species
CUUUAACAGAACCCUUCGGGGCGAAGAUAAAGUGGAUUAGCGGCGGACGGGUGAGUAACACGUGAGUAACCUGCCUUAGACAUUGGGAUAGCCUCGGGAAACCGGGAUUAAUACCAAAUAAAAUCAUAAUGACACAUGUCAUAACGAUCAAAACUCCGGUGGUCUAAGAUGGACUCGCGUCCCAUUAGCUAGUUGGUAGAGUAAAAGCCUACCAAGGCGACGAUGGGUAGCCGGCCUGAGAGGGUGAACGGCCACAUUGGAACUGAGAAACGGUCCAAACUCCUACGGGAGGCAGCAGUGGGGAAUAUUGCACAAUGGAGGGAACUCUGAUGCAGCGACGCCGCGUGAACGAAGAAGGCUUUCGAGUCGUAAAGUUCUUUUAUAUGGGAAGAUAAUGACGGUACCAUAAGAAAAAGCCCCGGCUAACUACGUGCCAGCAGCCGCGGUAAUACGUAGGGGGCUAGCGUUGUCCGGAAUCACUGGGCGUAAAGGGUUCGCAGGCGGAAAUGCAAGUCAGAUGUAAAAGGCAGUAGCUUAACUACUGUAGGCAUUUGAAACUGCAUAUCUUGAGAAGAGUAGAGGUAAGUGGAAUUUUUAGUGUAGCGGUGAAAUGCGUAGAUAUUAAAAAGAAUACCGGUGGCGAAGGCGACU